ACUUUUUCCUUGUGUUCCGCUGAGAGUCGACUCUUGCUUUCUUUGGAGUCGACCUACCAACCAUCGGAGUCGACUCGCGUUCCACUGGAGUCGACUCGAAUCUCAGACCCGAAAACUGCUCUCUGACUUUUCUGCCUGUGACUCCUAGGAGUCGACUCAAACUUCUCCGGAGUCGACUCGGUAAACAUUGGAGUUGACUCGAAAUCCUCAAGAGUCGACUCGAAGACUAUUCUUUUGAAUUUUUCCUUUGAUUUUACUCUUCCAAAUUGAAUCCUUUGAACUUUAAGCUUGGGCCAAUAAAUUGUAGCUUUCUUCCAACUUGAGAGCUUUGGAGGCCUUCUUGUGUUCUUCCAACUUGCUAUGUUCCUUGCAAAAUAAAUAUCUUUCUCCUUGCAACAUAAAUAUUAGUAUCUAUACUUCAAGGUUUUGUGAUCAUCAAAAUCAAUCUAUGAAUCAAUCUUUGGGUCAUCA
rnacentral:lncRNA from 1 species